UGUUGCUUAACCUGUGCCAUAUGUGGAUUCAAUGGAAUUUAUACACACACUCACAAACUCCAUUCUCCUUUUUAGAUGUGGAAAGUGAUUCCAGCGACGAAUGUAACCCCCCAAAAAAUAGAAAAAAAUUUUGAGAGGGUUUCAUGGCGUCAACCAUUUUGGCACACGCGAACGUUGCGUGUGUUAGUGAAAGACCUGGAAACGGAUGAACAAGUGACGGAUUUUCGUUGUCCGUCGAGUUUGGUGGCCGUGACGGAUCGGCGAGUCCUUUUUAGCAAUGGAAUAAACAGCACGAAAGAAAAAGAAAAACUUUUCAAAAAACAACAACAAACCAUUUGCUCAAUGCCGACCCGCCAUUUUUAUUUCGUCUUCCACCAGACUCGCAAGAAGGUCCCCACAUUCUGGCGUGAGAAAAAGAAGGAGAGAGAGAGUGGAAACUAUGAAAAAUAAGAUGAUGGGUGAUGCACAUACGUAUGUACACAAGGGCUAAGUAUAUUUAGUGGCAGACGAGUCACGCUCGGUAGAACAUUGUUCCAAGGUCUUUUUGAAGAAGAAAAAAAAAGAAACCCCCUGGAAAAUGAAGGAGAAAAUAUGACCGACUUGAAAUCACUGCGGUGAAUUUUCUCUCUUCUUUUCGUGUGUGCAAUCGCAACGAAAUUCCAUUAGUUGAUACGACACAUUCACGCUGCACGGCGUGUAAUCCCGAGGCAAAUGAGGGCGGGGUCGCGACUUCUCGGCAGGAGAAAGUCUCUGUUUCCCUCUUUGCCCUCUGGUUACGAGUCUACGAUGCCGUCCUUGCUUAACGAGUAUAAAAAUAAGAUUGAAGAAAAGAAACAUCCCUCCAGGUCCGUGAUUACCCUAACGUCCGCCAGAGUACCGGUGAGGCUUAACCCCUUCAUUUCGCUUUCUCUGUGUGUGUCUUUCACGCGUAUGAAACCAAUCAAUUGGCAAAGUGCCCAAAUAUAGAAGUUUUGUUGAGAAUAACAAGUUUUUCACGCAGACUUCACAAAAAAAAAGUGAGA